AGCUCAGGAUGAUACUGCUGGCGGCGUGUCUUCAUACAUGCAAGUCGAGCGGACUUAAAAAGCUUGCUUUUUAAGUAGCGGCGGACGGGUGAGUAACACGUGGGCAACCUGCCUGUAAGACUGGGAUAACUUCGGGAAACCGGAGCUAAUACCGGAUAAUCCUUUUCUACUCAUGUAGAAAAGCUGAAAGACGGUUUACGCUGUCACUUACAGAUGGGCCCGCGGCGCAUUAGCUAGUUGGUGAGGUAACGGCUCACCAAGGCGACGAUGCGUAGCCGACCUGAGAGGGUGAUCGGCCACACUGGGACUGAGACACGGCCCAGACUCCUACGGGAGGCAGCAGUAGGGAAUCUUCCGCAAUGGACGAAAGUCUGACGGAGCAACGCCGCGUGAGUGAUGAAGGUUUUCGGAUCGUAAAACUCUGUUGUUAGGGAAGAACAAGUACGAGAGUAACUGCUCGUACCUUGACGGUACCUAACCAGAAAGCCACGGCUAACUACGUGCCAGCAGCCGCGGUAAUACGUAGGUGGCAAGCGUUGUCCGGAAUUAUUGGGCGUAAAGCGCGCGCAGGCGGUCCUUUAAGUCUGAUGUGAAAGCCCACGGCUCAACCGUGGAGGGUCAUUGGAAACUGGGGGACUUGAGUGCAGAAGAGAAGAGUGGAAUUCCACGUGUAGCGGUGAAAUGCGUAGAGAUGUGGAGGAACACCAGUGGCGAAGGCGACUCUUUGGUCUGUAACUGACGCUGAGGCGCGAAAGCGUGGGGAGCAAACAGGAUUAGAUACCCUGGUAGUCCACGCCGUAAACGAUGAGUGCUAAGUGUUAGAGGGUUUCCGCCCUUUAGUGCUGCAGCAAACGCAUAAGCACUCCGCCCUGGAGACGCGGACCGUCG
rnacentral:rRNA from 2 species